AUGAAUGUCAAGAAAGAUGGAAAUGUAAUAUAUUAUAAAAAAAUGGUGGAAAGCUGGAAUUAGGCAAAUGGAGGAUGUGCUCUAUGAGGUGAUAAAUGGCUAUCUUCCAUUACAGGUAAUUGAAGACAUGUUAUCUGAAAAUGAAGUGAAUUAAGGGAAAGGAACACUUGUAAAACAGUUUGAGGAUUUAAAAAGAGCAAUACCACAGGAAUGGGUUGAAAGAAUUGAACAAAACGAAAAGGGAGAAAAUGGAGACAUGCCUGAUUUGUAUUUUAAAAUUUAUUUAAUAAUAAAUAAUGAAUUCACUUUUUGCUAAACUUACUCUCAAAUAUGCUUAUGAUUAGAUUGCAGAUUUCAAAAAGCUGUGUCGACAGUUUGGGGUUGAUAAUGUUGGUUCCAAAAUGGAUCUCAUCCUCAGACUUUGUGAUUAAAUGUCAAAUAGAGUGACAUACAACAAGGUGUUUGAAAAGAUUUGGGGUGCUUCAGGUGGUGUGGGUGUAAUCAUGUGUCCGUGUGAGAUUGUUUACUCAAUCAAAUUUAACCUCAGAGCUGAGAGUCCACGUGAUUUCACAGACCUUCUGCUGUCAUGGAAAAAUUUUCCUAAUGUCACAAUCUAUGAUUACCCUCGAGGCUUAGUUGCACACACAAAUAAAAGAUGUCCACGAUGUCCACCUUUCCACCCAUUUGAGGGCAGAGUGCAAGACCCCUCUGCUGAAAAUAUUAAACAAGCAAAAGAAGGAAAACUAAAAGUUCACUUUCCUUGGCUGGCACACA